CUUGAGCAAGGAGGAGGAAGGGGGACAGAAACAUUUUCCUGCAGCUUAAAGGAAAGAAUUAGAAGUCAGCUUGGAAGUGGCACAACUUAUCAGUGGUGUGUUCUCAGAUGGAAGAGACAUCUGGAGUAUGAAAACAUCCACAAUCCAUUCCCGGAAGGCAGGAAAAGACGCAUAUAAAGAAAUGGGAAACUGGGUACUCAUUUUACCAACCUCGGAUGGAUGGAAGACUAAGUCAACCUUGAGCCGGCUAUCUGAACCCGGCUUCCACCAGGAUUGAACUCAGGUCGUAUAAGCAGAGCUUGGACUGCAGAACAGCAGCUUCCAAGAGAAGUUUUAGGACUGAAGCCAGAAGAAGAAUGAGUCACCUACAGUGAAAGAACACGUCUGAUUUAUAUACUCUCAGAAACAUCCGUUAUGGCUUUGACCUUUCCUGCUGUUUUGGCAAGAACCUGAGCAUCAAUAAGGUGGCCCAGAUAUGCAGUAGUCCAACUCCUGGAUGCAUUCACAUUUGUCCUUGCAAACUUUCCCCCCCCUUGUAGACCUUCAAUUUCUGUAAGGUUGCUGUGACACAUUCAACUGUA